GGUAGAUCUAAUAUUAGCAUUAAUGACAGGGUUAAUUUGAGAAAUUAAUAGGCUUUCACGGAUAAGAAGAUCCCACUCAGAAGUGCCUGAUGAUAGAAUUUUGAAAUCGGAAGCGGAGACUGGGUGUUUGUGCAUGUGUUUGUGAGCGAGUAUACCAGACAUGGUUGAGAUAGAGCGUUCUUUUCCAGUCAAAGUCGAGACUCCCAUAUGCUCUG